rnacentral:rRNA from 1 species
GAUGAACGCUAGCGAUAGGCUUAACACAUGCAAGUCGAGGGGCAGCAUGGUCUUAGCUUGCUAAGGCUGAUGGCGACCGGCGCACGGGUGCGUAACGCGUAUGCAACUUGCCUCACAGAGGGGGAUAACCCGUCGAAAGACGGACUAAUACCGCGUACACUCUAUGUUGGGCAUCCAAUGUAGAGGAAAUGAAAUUCGCUGUGAGAUAGGCAUGCGUCCCAUUAGCUAGUUGGUGAGGUAACGGCUCACCAAGGCGACGAUGGGUAGGGGAACUGAGAGGUUGAACCCCCACACUGGUACUGAGACACGGACCAGACUCCUACGGGAGGCAGCAGUGAGGAAUAUUGGUCAAUGGGCGAGAGCCUGAACCAGCCAAGUCGCGUGAAGGAUGACUGUCUUAUGGAUUGUAAACUUCUUAUAUACGGGAAUAACAAGAGUCACGUGUGGCUCCCUGCAUGUACCGUAUGAAUAAGCAUCGGCUAACUCCGUG